rnacentral:rRNA from 1 species
AUUGAACGCUGGCGGCAUGCCUUACACAUGCAAGUCGAACGCCCUCUUCGGAGGGAGUGGCAGACGGGUGAGUAACACGUGGGAACGUGCCCUUUGGUUCGGAACAACUCCGGGAAACUGGAGCUAAUACCGGAUACGCACUUCGGGGGAAAGAUUUAUCGCCAAAGGAUCGGCCCGCGUCUGAUUAGCUAGUUGGUAGGGUAAUGGCCGACCAAGGCGACGAUAAGUAGCUGGUUUGAGGGGAAGGGGAGACACACUGGGACUGAGACACGGCGCAGACUCCGACGGAAGGCAGCAGGGGGGAAUAUUGGACAAUGGGCGAAAGCCUGAUCCAGCCAUGCCGCGUGAGUGAUGAAGGCCUUAGGGUUGUAAAGCUCUUUAGCCGAGGACGAUAAUGACGGUACUCGGAUAAGAAGCCCCGGCUAACUUCGUGCCAGCCGCCGCGGUAAAAC